GCGACCCCAGGUCAGGGGGCUUCACAACAACCA
rnacentral:rRNA from 1 species